rnacentral:ribozyme from 13 species
ACAAAAUGAUAAAAAAGACAUCAAAAAGAAAAAAGACAUCAACUCUUCCUUCUUCUCCAACAAUUCUUUCUCUCCAUCUUCUCUCUCUUUCUCUCUCUUCCCGCUCUCUUCCUUCUCCUUCUUCUUUCUUUCUCUCUGUUUCUUCUCCUGCUCCUUCUUCUUCUUCUUCUACUCCCACUCACACUUCUCCUCUCUUCAAGAAAGAGAAACAAGGAGAGAGAAAGAGAGUCGGAGGUGCGGAAACUUAUGAAGUGAACUGGAAGGUACCUCCCAUAAUCGUAACAAAAAAGACAAAAACAUUAAAAUUUUCGAUUUUUCACGAAACCAACAAA